rnacentral:rRNA from 1 species
AACGUAGGAGGCUAGCGUUAUCCGGAUUUACUGGGCGUAAAGCGCGUGCAGGUGGUCUUGUAAGUUGGAUGUGAAAGCUCCCGGCUUAACUGGGAGAGGUCGCUCAAAACUGCAAGACUUGAGAUUGGUAGAGGGAGGUGGAAUUCCGGGUGUAGUGGUGAAAUGCGUAGAUAUCCGGAGGAACACCAGUGGCGAAAGCGGCCUCCUGGACCAAUUCUGACACUCAGACGCGAAAGCUAAGGUAGCAAACGGG